rnacentral:tRNA from 1 species
AGUUUUAAUAAUUUAAAUAAAAUAUUGGUCUUGUAAAUCAAAAAUAAGAAUUCUUUUAAAAC